AAUCCUGGUCGGACAUCAGGAGGUUAGUGCAAUGGCAUAAGCCAGCUUGACUGCGAGCGUGACGGCGCGAGCAGGUGCGAAAGCAGGUCAUAGUGAUCCGGUGGUUCUGAAUGGAAGGGCCAUCGCUCAACGGAUAAAAGGUACUCCGGGGAUAACAGGCUGAUACCGCCCAAGAGUUCAUAUCGACGGCGGUGUUUGGCACCUCGAUGUCGGCUCAUCACAUCCUGGGGCUGAAGUAGGUCCCAAGGGUAUGGCUGUUCGCCAUUUAAAGUGGUACGCGAGCUGGGUUUAGAACGUCGUGAGACAGUUCGGUCCCUAUCUGCCGUGGGCGCUGGAGAACUGAGGGGGGCUGCUCCUAGUACGA
rnacentral:rRNA from 1 species